rfam:Paracoccidioides sp. &apos;lutzii&apos; Pb01 unplaced genomic scaffold supercont2.11, whole genome shotgun sequence.
CCGCUGGUCGUCUAGUUGGUUUAUGGCACUGGACUGUAAUAUCCGAUCGCUAUCCAGGUGUCGUCGGUUCGACUCCGACCCAGCGGA